UCUUGUAAUCGUGAAUUUGUGGAAUUUCUGUGAUUAUGAAGUUGUAAAGUGUAUUUUUGCAAUUUUCUUGUACUUUUGUAUUUCCUUUUACGUGAUCGUGAAUUUGUGGAGUUUCUAUUAUCGUGAUUUUGUGGAACUUAUGUGAUCAUGAAGUUGUGGAAUUUAUUUUUGCAUUUUUCUCGUAUUUUUUGUGUUUACUUGUUGUGUGUG